AUGAACGCUGGCGGCGUGCCUAACACAUGCAAGUCGAACGGAGUAUAUUCGCUGCAGAGAUUUCGGUCGAAGCUUGAGUAUACUUAGUGGCGGACGGGUGAGUAACGCGUGGGCAACCUGCCUCAUACUGGGGGAUAGCAGUUGGAAACGACUGAUAAUACCGCAUAAGCGCACGGUAUCGCAUGAUACAGUGUGAAAAACUCCGGUGGUAUGAGAUGGGCCCGCGUCAGAUUAGCUAGUUGGUAAGGUAACGGCUUACCAAGGCGACGAUCUGUAGCCGGACUGAGAGGUCGGACGGCCACAUUGGGACUGAGACACGGCCCAAACUCCUACGGGAGGCAGCAGUGGGGGAUAUUGCACAAUGGAGGAAACUCUGAUGCAGCGACGCCGCGUGAGUGAAGAAGUAUUUCGGUAUGUAAAGCUCUAUCAGCAGGGAAGAAAGGCCCGCAAGGGAGAUGACGGUACCUGACUAAGAAGCCCCGGCUAACUACGUGCCAGCAGCGGC
rnacentral:rRNA from 1 species